GCCCCCACCUGCUGGCCAGGGAAAAGGGGUCAUCAGGGCCAAGGCCCCUCCAUAAGGCCUCCUGUGAUUCCUCGGGCUGGCUGCUGCCACCGUCCUGCCCUGGCCAUCACCCCACAACCUUUCUUCAUCUCUCUCUCCUCCUCCAACUCACCCCCCACCCCCGACAUCUGAUGCGCUUUCCCUGCCAGGCUUUGAGACAUUCCUUUGCCUAGUUUCCUUAGGGGAGCCUGGAAAGCACACCUGUCCCCCAGGGCAAGGGCAUGACGAACCUGUAAGUCGCUGAGCCGCCCUGCAGAGGGCGCCAACUGCGCGGGUGUNNNNGGGUUUCCAGAGACAGGGAGGCUUUAGGAUGAGGGUCUAAAAAAAUCCACCGCGAUCCACCGUGAUACACUGGGAUCACGAUACAUUGGAAAGUCAAGAUCACAGGGAAGAAAUGUGGAGCUUGGCAACCUAUUGCCAAAGCAGCAAGUUCCUCCUCCUCCUUCAAAUACAGGUGACCAGAAUCAGGGCAGCAGCUAGCCGGGCCCCUUUUUGCCAUUUCUACCCUGUCUCUCCUGUUUCCUCCAGCAGUGGCUUGGAAGCCAAGCCUGGGGUGAGGGGGGCAGCAAUGGCUUUAAUUAGUGAACGAUUCUAUUACCUCCUGCACCCCAUUCCUGGGCCUCUCCAUUUUGGUUUCCUAACAUCUGGGCAUUGUCCUUCCUUGUCUUAUUUGCCUGCAGCUUAGAUCCGAGACCACAUACAUAGUUUAAUAGCUUCUUUCUUAGCGGUUUUCCUAAUUAUAAUGAAAGUGAAAGUGGAGUUCUUCAGUGGUGUCUGACUCUUUGCCAUCCCGUGGACGGUAGCCCGCCAGGCUCCUCUGUCCACGGGAUUCUCCAGGCAAGAAUACUNNNNNNNNNNNNNNNNNNNNNNNNNNNNNGAUCUUCCCAACCCAGGGAUCGAGCCCAGGUCUCCUGCAUUGCAGGCAGACUGUUUAUCCUCUGAGCCACCAGGGAAGCCCUAAGUUAUAAGACUGUUGCAAAAGGGGAAACAUCUUCUAAGACCCACAAGUCCUGUUUCCCCAAGCCAUCGAUAUAAAUGACUUUUAAUCUUCGAUUACUGAGAGAAUGGCAUUUAAAUUGACAGAGAAUUCCUGCAUCUGGGUCUGAGUNNNNNNNNNNNNNNUAGCCCAAAUGUCCUGAGAGUCCAACAUCUAGAGUCUUGCUUUCCAAAAAAGAGCAGAAUUUGCAGCUUUAACCAAGGCCGUGCAUGGGGUGGCACAACACAUGUUUCCUCCUCCCCAGGCAGGCCCCAUCCCACCACAGGGAAGCGUGUCACUCUGCUCCAUUACUCGGCCUGUUUGUGAAGCUUGGAUAUAAAGAGAUUGUGUUUUAAGGUGUGACCUCCACACACCAGGCUGAUUGCCCAGCCCACU
rnacentral:lncRNA from 1 species